rnacentral:lncRNA from 1 species
GGACAAGCCAGGGUCCCCAACUGGCCAAGGCGAAAUCCGACCUCAGAAGAGGAUUGGAGACGCUGUUUGUGUUUAUCCCAGCCUCACCCACCAGCAGCAGCCUGUGAGUGCAGCCGAGGGCCUGGCUUAGAGCAGCCACUAGGUGGCAGGAGAAGCUCGAAGGUUCACCUGGCUCCGUCCACUCCCACCCGCGCCCCUGGCUCCAGAAACCCCAGAACCAGGUGAAGCGAAGUUCCUGUCCUGUGUCCAGCAGCUGCCUCGGAAUUCCCUUCCCUGCUGAAGGUUCAUUGCCCAGUUCAGUUUGGCCAACCCUAGCCCUGAGUGUUACAGGGGGCAUGCCAUUCUCUUAAAGUGGAAAACAAAUCCUAGUCCCUGCUAGUGGAGAUGCUCUCAACACUCCGACUGCAGACAAGACUUCUACAAAUGAGGACACAUUCACGCAGACUUCCAGAACUUGCGGCAGCUCCUUACAUCUCAGUGACUUGACCUCUGACUCCUGGGUUCAAAGCCAGCCUGCAGUAGUCAACGGCCUCAACUGCUCUCUCCAACCACUCCCUUCUACACAAGGCCUCCCAGGUGCCAAGCCAUGCCUCACGGAGCCAUCUCCCACACUGUAGUUGGGCUGUGUCUGAAACACAUGCAGAUCAUGAGCACAGUGCAGCAGGAC